UACGUAGGGUGCAAGCGUUGUCCGGAAUUAUUGGGCGUAAAGAGCUCGUAGGCGGUCUGUCGCGUCUGCUGUGAAAACUCGGGGCUUAACCCCGGCCUGCAGUGGGUACGGGCAGACUAGAGUGCGGUAGGGGAGACUGGAAUUCCUGGUGUAGCGGUGAAAUGCGCAGAUAUCAGGAGGAACACCGGUGGCGAAGGCGGGUCUCUGGGCAGUAACUGACGCUGAGGAGCGAAAGCGUGGGGAGCGAACAGG
rnacentral:rRNA from 1 species